rnacentral:rRNA from 1 species
AUUUAAAUAAUUAUAUAUUUUAUUUUUAAAAUUAUUUGUUUUUUUAGUAUGGGGAAAAAAUUUUUUUUUUAUAGAUUAUUAGUACUGUGAGGGAAAUUUGAAAUAUAUUGAAAAUUAAAAUUUUUUAAAGAAAAAUUAAUUUUUUGUACCUUGUGUAUCAGGGUUUACUAAAAUUAGGUUAAUUAUUUAAUUUUCCCGAAUCUUUGAGAGCUAAAGGUUUAUUUAUUUUAAUGUUUAAUAAUUAUUUAAAAUUUUCUUUUAGUAAUGAAAUGUUAUUCGUUCUGGGAGAUAUCUGGUUUCUUUGGAAAAAAAUUAAAUUUUAUUGUUAUAAUGGUUCUAUUUAUAUUUUAUAUAGAAUUAUUUAACUUUAAGUGUUUUGGGGGAAAAGCUUCAAUUCAAAUUGUUAAAAAUUAUUAUUCUUUUAAAAUUAAUAGGAUUAGAAAUUUUCAUUUAAUGAGUAUGUUAUAAUUUAUUUUGAUAGAUUGAAAUUUUUUUGUUUUUAAUUUUUUACAAAGAUUUAUUUAAAAAUUUACUUAUUUUAAAUAAUGGUUGAAUUAGUAUAAUAAUUUGUUUAAAUUAUAUUUUUAAAAGUUAUUUUUAAGGAAUUCGGCAAAUAUUUUAUUCGCCUGUUUAAUAAAAACAUGGCCUUAUGAUAAUAAUUUUAGGUUUAAUCUGCUCAAUGAUAAUUUAAAUAGCCGCGAUAUUCUGAUCGUGCGAAGGUAGCAUAAUCAUUAGUUUCUUAAUUAGAAGCUGGUAUGAAUGAUUGGACGAGAUAAAUUCUGUCUCAUUAAUAAUUUUAGAAUUUUAUUUUUGAGUUAAAAAGCUUAAAUUUUUUAAAAAGACGAGAAGACCCUAUAGAGUUUUAUGGAUAAUUUUUUAAUAGUUUUUGGUAUAGAUAAUUUUUAAUUUUGAUUUCAUUUGGUUGGGGUGACUGAAAAAUUUAAUAAACUUUUUUUAAAAUAAAUACAGAUUUGUAAAUUUUUGAUUUAUAAAAAUAAUUAUAAGAUUAAAUUACCUUAGGGAUAACAGCGUUAUUUUUCUUGAGAGUUCAUAUCGACAGAAUAGUUUGCGACCUCGAUGUUGGAUUAAAAUUUAAUUUAGGUGUAGAAGCUUAAAUUUUUAGUCUGUUCGACUAUUAAAAUUUUACAUGAUCUGAGUUUAAACCGGCGUGAGCCAGGUUGGUUUCUAUCUUUUAUUGUUUACAAUAUUUUAGUACGAAAGGACCAAAUAUUGUCCAAAAUAGGUUAAUUUUGAAUGUUAGU